rnacentral:rRNA from 1 species
UACGUAGGUGGCAAGCGUUGUCCGGAUUUACUGGGCGUAAAGAGCGCGCAGGCGGUCGUUCAAGUCGCGUGUGAAAGCCCCCGGCUCAACUGGGGAGGGUCACGCGAUACUGAUCGACUCGAAGGCAGGAGAGGGUAGUGGAAUUCCCGGUGUAGUGGUGAAAUGCGUAGAUAUCGGGAGGAACACCAGUGGCGAAGGCGACUUCCUGGCCCGUUCUUGACGCUGAGGCGCGAAAGCUAGGGGAGCAAACGGG